UCUUCCCUCUAGCGGCAGGCCUAAUACAUGCAAGUCGGACGGGAUUCAGGAGCUUGCUUCUGAUGAGAGUGGCGCACGGGUGCGUAACACGUAUGUAACCUACCUUUAUCAGGGGGAUAGCCUCUCGAAAGAGAGAUUAAGCCCGCAUAAAAUCACAGCACAGCAUUGUGUAAUGAUCAAAUAUUUAUAGGAUAAAGAUGGGCAUGCGGAACAUUAGCUAGAUGGCGGGGUAACGGCCCACCAUGGCGACGAUGUUUAGGGGAUCUGAGAGGAUGGCCCCCCACACUGGUACUGAGACACGGACCAGACUCCUACGGGAGGCAGCAGUAAGGAAUAUUGGUCAAUGGGCGGAAGCCUGAACCAGCCAUGCCGCGUGCAGGAAGACGGCCCUACGGGUUGUAAACUGCUUUUAUACGGGAAUAAACCCAGAUACGUGUAUCUGGCUGAAUGUACUGUAAGAAUAAGGAUCGGCUAACUCCGUG
rnacentral:rRNA from 1 species